UUAUGGCUCAGGAUGAACGCUAGCUACAGGCUUAACACAUGCAAGUCGAGGGGCAGCAUUGGGGUAGCAAUACUCAGAUGGCGACCGGCGCACGGGUGAGUAACACGUAUCCAACCUGCCGCUUACUCGGGGAUAGCCUUUCGAAAGAAAGAUUAAUACCCGAUGGUAUAAAGAGUUCGCAUGUUCUCUUUAUUAAAGAAUUUCGGUAAGCGAUGGGGAUGCGUUCCAUUAGAUAGUUGGCGGGUAACGGCCCACCAAGUCUACGAUGGAUAGGGGUUCUGAGAGGAAGGUCCCCCACAUUGGAACUGAGACACGGUCCAAACUCCUACGGGAGGCAGCAGUGAGGAAUAUUGGUCAAUGGACGAGAGUCUGAACCAGCCAAAGUAGCGUGAAGGAUGACUGCCCUAUGGGUUGUAAACUUCUUUUAUAAGGGAAUAAAGUGAGGGACGUGUCCCUUUUUGUAUGUACCUUAUGAAUAAGGAUCGGCUAACUCCGUGCCAGCCGCGGC
rnacentral:rRNA from 1 species